CCUACGGGAGGCAGCAGUGAGGAAUAUUGGUCAAUGGACGCGAGUCUGAACCAGCCAAGUAGCGUGAAGGAUGACUGCCCUAUGGGUUGUAAACUUCUUUUAUAUGGGAAUAAAACGUUCCACGUGUGGGUUUUUGCAUGUACCAUAUGAAUACGGAUCGGCUAACUCCGUGCCAGCAGCCGCGGUAAUACGGAGGAUCCGAGCGUUAUCCGGAUUUAUUGGGUUUAAAGGGAGCGUAGGUGGAUUGUUAAGUCAGUUGUGAAAGUUUGCGGCUCAACCGUAGAAGUGCAGUUGAAACUGGGAGUCUUGAGUGCAGUAGAGGUGGGCGGAAUUCGUGGUGUAGCGGUGAAAUGCUUAGAUAUCACGAAGAACGCCGAUUGCGAAGGCAGUUCACUGGACUGCAACUGACGCUGAGGCUCGAAAGUGUGGGUAUCGAACAGGAUUAGAUACCCUUGUAGUC
rnacentral:rRNA from 1 species